CAGAGCAUAGCUAAAUAACGCAAAGCACCUCCCUUACACUGAGAAGACAUCCGUGCAACCCGGAUUGCUCUGAC
rnacentral:tRNA from 1 species